ACGUAAUAGAUACCCCGGUAGUCCACGCCCUAAACGAUGUCUACUAGUUGUUGGUGGAGUAAAAUCCAUGAGUAAACGCAGCUAAACGCGUGAAGUAGACCGCCUGGGGAGUACGGUCGCAAGAUUAAAAACUCAAAGGAAUUGACGGGGGCCCGCACAAGCGGUGGAUUAUGUGGAUUAAUUCGAUGCAACGCGAAAAACCUUACCUGGCCUUGACAUGCCACUAACGAAGCAGAGAUGCAUUAGGUGCCCGUAAGGGAAAGUGGACACAGGUGCUGCAUGGCUGUCGUCAGCUCGUGUCGUGAGAUGUUGGGUUAAGUCCCGCAACGAGCGCAACCCUUGCCAUUAAUUGCCAUCAUUUAGUUGGGCACUUUAAUGGGACUGCCGGUGACAAACCGGAGGAAGGUGGGGUAUGGACGUCAAGUCCUCAUGGCCCGUUACUGGUCCGA
rnacentral:rRNA from 1 species